UACGUAGGGUGCGAGCGUUAAUCGGAAUUACUGGGCGUAAAGCGCGUGUAGGCGGCCUUGCAAGUCGGGUGUGAAAGCCCUCAGCUCAACUGAGGAAGCGCGCCCGAAACUGCAGAGCUUGAGUACCGGAGAGGAUGGCGGAAUUCCCCAAGUAGAGGUGAAAUUCGUAGAUAUUGGGAAGAACACCGAUGGCGAAGGCAGCCAUCUGGACCGACACUGACGCUGAGGCGCGAAAGCGUGGGGAGCAAACAGG
rnacentral:rRNA from 1 species